rnacentral:rRNA from 1 species
UCCAGACUCCUACGGGAGGCAGCAGUGGGGAAUAUUGCACAAUGGGGGGAACCCUGAUGCAGCGACGCCGCGUGGGUGAAGGAGUAUUUCGGUAUGUAAAGCCCUAUCAGCAGGGAAGAACAAUGACGGUACCUGACUAAGAAGCACCGGCUAAAUACGUGCCAGCAGCCGCGGUAAUACGUAGGGGGCAAGCGUUAUCCGGAUUUACUGGGUGUAAAGGGGGCGCAGACGGCGAUGCAAGCCAGGAGUGAAAGCCCGGGGCCCAACCCCGGGACUGCUCUUGGAACUGCGUGGCUGGAGUGCAGGAGGGGCAGGCGGAAUUCCUGGUGUAGCGGUGAAAUGCGUAGAUAUCAGGAGGAACACCGGUGGCGAAGGCGGCCUGCUGGACUGCAACUGACGUUGAGGCCCGAAAGCGUGGGGAGCAAACAGGAUUAGAUACCCGAGUAACU